CNGGNAGUUAGCCGAUGCUUAUUCGUUAGGUACCGUCAUUAUCUUCCCUAACAAAAGAGGUUUACAACCCACAGGCCUUCGUCCCUCACGCGGUAUUGCUCCGUCAGGCUUUCGCCCAUUGCGGAAAAUUCCCA
rnacentral:rRNA from 1 species